UGGCGGACGGGUGAGUAAUGUCUGGGGAAACUGCCUGAUGGAGGGGGAUAACUACUGGAAACGGUAGCUAAUACCGCAUAACGUCGCAAGACCAAAGAGGGGACCUUCGGGCCUCUUGCCAUCGGAUGUGCCCAGAUGGGAUUAGCUAGUAGGUGGGGUAACGGCUCACCUAGGCGACGAUCCCUAGCUGGUCUGAGAGGAUGACCAGCCACACUGGAACUGAGACACGGUCCAG
rnacentral:rRNA from 1 species